CCAUGCAAAAAAUUAUGGAAGCAAUAAUAGAAUAUUUCCCUAAGCACGCUUAUGUUUAGGACUCUGUUCUUGGGGUCCUGUCCCAUUCUCCUGUAUGUACCCCACAAGCUAUUAUCAGGAGGAAUAGGUCAGACCGCACUGUGGUGCAAUUUUCACGAUCACCACCAGAGGGAGGGGCUUCCUUCAGAUGCGGUUCCUCACUGUAUUCAGGAGCUGGUUUCACUUGCCUGCUUUGUAGCCACAAGACAGAAUAUUGCUGCAGUACAGAAAGGGGCUCUCAGUUUCUGAGCGAGGAGCUUCUGUAACAUUCAGAUGGAGACUAGAUUUAUUAGAUUUGUGUAUUCCAGAGAACAAGGAUUGUUUUCUUUUGCGAACAUGCGUUCUGCCACUUACUCAGUUCUUUUGAUCAUCUUAACAUUCAGAGGGACCAAUGGUGACUCAGUGAACCAGAAAGAGGGCCCAGUGACUGUCUCAGAGGGGGCUUUCAUGACCCUGAACUGCACAUACCAGACUGCUGAUUUUGAUCUCUAUCUUUUCUGGUAUAUCCAGCAUCUCAACAAAGCUCCUCAACUCCUACUGAAGGGCUCGAUAUCAGACCAGAACCCAAAGAGUAAAGGUUUUCAGGCCACUCUUGAUAGGAGUGACAGCUCCUUCCACCUGCAGAAACAGGCAGUGCAAGCAUCAGACUCGGCUGUGUACUACUGUGCUCUGAGUGACACAAUGAGAGAGGGCUGUGGGGCAGCUGAGCACAAACCCCGAGUGCAGAUGGGGCUCUGGCUAUGGGCAGCCCUGCAGGGGGGUUGUUGUUUCUGUCUUAGGUGUUUUAUGCUAGCUGUGUUGUUGUUUAUGUACUAAGUCAUCUCCGACUCUUUUGCGACCCUAUGACUGUAGUGGGCUCUUCUGUCCAUGGGAUUUCCCAGGCAAGAAGACUGGAGUGGGUUGCCAUUUCUUUCUCCUGGGAAUUAUCCCCACCCAGGAAUGGUACCAAUGUCUCCUGUUUGGCAGGCAGAUUCUUUACCACUGAGCCACCUGGGAAGCCACUGUGUUAUGCCAGAGACAUUUUCAAAGUAUUUCCAGCUCUGAAGUUCAGUGCCAAGAACCCUGCAAUUCUUGGAUUGGUCUACAGAGAGGAAUCUGUGAAGGACAGUGAAAAGAGGAAUCUAAAAUGUCUUCUCCAGAAAUGCCUGUUUUUAGCCCAGUCACAUUUCUCCAGAUGGCACAGAAUUCCUGGAAGUGACAUUAACUCUGUUCAAUGACAGUUCAGUUGAUAUAUGCUGAAAUAUGUCACAACCUGUUGAUGAAAACUCCCAGGGCACCUCAUUCAUUAAUGAAUGUAUGACCCUGAAGCUAUUGUCAGAUUUUUAUAAUUCAGACCAGAAUUUUGUGUCUUGCUGAGUUUCACCUGCAGACACUCCAUCUUUAGUGACUGGGACCUUUACACUCUCUUCCCUUGACUUUUCCAACUCUUAUGGUUGCUCAAGAAAUGCUGCUGCUGUGAGUUCCAUGAAGAUGGAUUCCUGAGAAGAUAUUCCUUCUGUCAAGGGUCCUGUGGGCCAGAGCAGUCUAGUCAGUGAACCUUUUGCGCAUGAGGUGUCUUGAUUCUAUGUUGGUGACAGAGCUCCACCCUCAUCUUGUCAUCAUGGCAGCUCUUUACAGAAUGCUAGGUCAUGAUUCCGAUUCUGGUCUUGAGGAUCCGUGCUGUGAGAAAUUCUGGACAUAAACAUGAUCAUGUAACCUGACAUAUUAUCUUUAUCGCUGUAUUGAGGCCUCUGAUCACUUUGAAAUGUGUCAAAUUAAGUGACCAAGCAAACAGUCCUUAUUGAAAGAGGGCACAUGGACUUUUGUUGACUGGGAUUCUAAAUUCCUGACAUAUUCACAAUGUUCUCACAGCAGAGGAGCAAAAAACAAAGAAAUGUGUGGCUCUCACUGUAACUUGCAAUGAAUGAAACUCACGAAGAGAAAUUCGUCCUGCAUUCUGGAGGUCUCUGAACCUCACCGUGCUUUAUCUCUCUUGUAUGAUUCUGUGGGACUGACAGGUACGGAUGAAGGUUUUGCAGAGCCUGAGCCUUCUGAGCCUUUCAGAGGCUCUUCUUUAGAAAAAGAAAAUGAAAUUGCAGAAUCAAGUUUCUUGGGCCCAGGACACUAAGGGAUCCUGAAAUACAGGCUGAAUUUGCUUAAUGGUAAAACCCUCUGAAAGAGAUGGGAAUACCAGACUACC